rnacentral:rRNA from 1 species
CAAUGGCGGUUAACAAAGGGAUGCAAAGCCGCGAGGCAGAGCGAACCCCAAAAAGCCGUCCCAGUUCGGAUCGCGGGCUGCAACCCGCCUGCGUGAAGUCGGAAUCGCUAGUAAUCGCGGAUCAGCAUGCCGCGGUGAAUACGUUCCCGGGCCUUGUACACACCGCCCGUCACACCAUGAGAGUCGGGAACACCCGAAGUCCGUAGCCUAACCUUAACUGGAGGGCGCGGCCGAAGGUGGGUUCGAUAAUUGGGGUGAAGUCGUAACAAGGUACC